rnacentral:lncRNA from 1 species
ACAAGAAGGAAACCAAGUCUUCUAAACAUCUUUUAACAAUGAAAACUUCACCACAAAUUAUUUAUAAUCAUACCUGAGUUCUCAAGGGUCUUUGAUCAUAAGAACUUCAAUUCUUUUCGUCAAUCUUCAUCUUCUAAUUCUUCGAGACUCCAUCCAAACCAUCACGAAAUUCGCCAACUUAUAAAAUCCUUAACAACUCCUUUAACUAACGAGAAGCAUACGCGAUCACCUUCCCGUCCUGUAUUAAAACAUAGCCCAAUCCAUUAAAGGAAGCAUCACUAUAAAUCACAUAUCCCGCUCCAGCAAUU